CUCUCACCGGAGUCCGCCGCGCCCGUAGAGACCGGCUCCCAGAGCGUCGCGCCAGCGGCGAAGCGGAAGCCCCGCGGCCACUUCCGCCAGAAAAAACGCCUUGCUGGAUUUUGCUGAUUUCACUGGGUUUUGGGUCCACUAGAGGGAGGUGUGCACAAAGCGUGCGUUGAUCUUGCUGUUAAACUGCAUCACUGCCAGCAAGAACAAGCACAGACUUAAGAAUAAUCGGAGUGCAUUUACUGCAGCAUAAUUCAAGGCCUGACUCAGCGUUCCUCAGUCCACGUCCAUGGGAUUUGUCCUCUUAGAUCACAACACUACCUCUGAAAGAAGCACAUCUCGGGAAGACGGGAGUCUGAGAGGGCUGGCACAAAAAAUGACAGUGGUUAAAUGCCAGAGCAGCAAUAGAAGUUUGGGAGAGUGAAAAAUGCAAAAGAACAGGAAGGAUGUAGUAGUAAGAAAUCAUGAAAGAAUACCAAGGGAAAAAGGUUCUGCUUGUAAACUCUGGGAUUCACAGCUGUGCUGCAGCUCCUUUACAAAACGGAGAUGAUGAAGGUGCAUUUUUGGGGCCCAGAGAAAGACUGUAGUAAGUUGGAAAAGGGAUAUAAAGAUGUCCCCUGUAGUCUGGUGUUUGAUGCAGGGACAACUGUGAAGCUGAACAUGUCAGAGCGUCAAAUUCUUUACAAAGCUUGAAAAGUGACUUUGUUUUUGUUCUGGCUGAUAAUGCUCAUAAUCCUCAAAUCCCCAAAAGGGAGGUUUUGUCUGCUCAAGAUGUACUGGAGGCCUUAGUUGUAUUGUAUUGUUGUAUGACUGAUGGUAUCUUUGUUCACUCUUUUUUCCCUGUUUUGUUUGGAUAGUUAAUGCUACUUCCCAGAGAGUCAGGAUGACAUUUUCCCGGUUGUUUUAAUUUUGAAUUAAACUUGAGGAGAGAAAGGAAAAAGUAAGGCCUGUUUCUGCUUAAAAGUUCCACUUAAAAGUAAGGCCUCUUUCUGCAGUAUUCUGAGGGUUCCUGUGUAGGGGUUCACUUUGGUCUGUUCACCAUAAGAUGAAUAGAUUACUGAUCCUUUUUUUUGGCUUUCUUGUCUAUGUUAAAUGAUUACAUAGACUGCAUGUAUGGAUUUUAAUUGCUACAACUAAAGCUUCAUCACCUUCAGUAAGCCUACUCUGCAGACCAUCACCCUAUAUUAUUUCCAACAAGCUGUGUUGCUUGUGGCUCUAGUUCUUUCAGAAUAUUUAACAAGUGCUUAAAUGUUGCUCCAUCAACUCACAUAUGUUUCUGGAUCAACUAGCAUAUUUAAAGGUUUAUUUUUAGGCAAAUGCUUAAGUUCUUGGAUGAACUGAAGACUUCAAAGGUUAGCCUGAGGUCAGUUAUUUUAUUUAGUCACUUUACACUGCAAAGAAACUGCUAUUUACUAUUGCUAUAUCAAAAUGAAAAUCCAGAGAAUGUGGCUCAAGUGAAGUAGGAUUAUCAGACAUGCACUGUCAUGAUAGCACGAGAAUUUUCCCUGUUAGUUUUGAUGUCUACCUGUUAAGGAAACAUUGUUUUCUCAUAGGAGAACAUAAUUCUGAUUUUUCAGAAACACACAGGGAGGAACUAUAUGACUUUAAAUUUAAAUUGCACACUGUUAUAUUAAGAUACUUUAGCUAGUAUCUUAAUAUGACAGAGUAAGGUUU